GCUUUUUCUCAUUCCAUCUUAAAAUGAGGUCCCAGAGGGAAGGCAGCAUUCCCCACAAGGCCAAUAGGAAGAGCGGGGGCCAUCCUGGAUAUGCAUGCUCAACCACCAGGUGGGGAGUGAGAGAGAGAAGAACUUCUGUGGUAAAACCUUUACAGGGGUCCAAGAGCAUUCAUUUCUUCUGGAGGAUGCAGCAAGAAGGCAUCAUCUUGGAAGCAGAGAAUAGCCCUCAUCAGACACCAAACUUGCUGGAGCCUUGAUCUUGGACUUUACAUUCUCCAGAACAGUGAGCAAUAAAUUUUUAGUGUUUAUAAACUACCCAGUCUCAGGCAUUUUGUUAUAGCAGCUCAGACUAAGACAGACUAAGACAAUAUACAAUGCCUUAGUUUAAUACUUUAAUACUUUCAUGAAUAACAAUAGUAAAUAAAUGAAUACAAUUAUUUAAAUUAUGAGAUUGUUCAUUGUCUCAUUGUCUAGUCCUUACCUGUAUCUGUCUCUCUCCACAUUCUGAAAUCGACCUUGUGAUUUUUGCAUAAUUGUGUUAUACAUAACUGUAUACCCAGAUGUCCCUCAAUUUCAUAUAUAUGUUUACAAAAUAGACAUUUUAUCUUGCUCUUCUCUUUCCUUUUUAUUUGAUACUUUUCUUAUCUAUUAUUGGUUUAGCUAUUCCUAGUGGCCUAAAGAUGUAAUUUUAUUGCAAACAUCUGAACAACUCAAUAUAUUCUUCACACUCCCUGCUUACUUUAAAGCUUUAGUAUUUACACAGUUGGGGAUAUAUCUAUAUAGAAAUACUUAUCAGUGAAGUAAACCUUUUUUCCCUGAUGUUUCAUCUUAAUGGUAAAAUCAUCCUCCUGUUGCCAUUACACUCUUCAACUUAUGUAUAAGAAUUCUGUUAACUCUAAGCAGCAUGUUUAAAGUAGGUUAGUUCAAAGUUGUGAGAUGGUUGCACAUUUUCAGUAGGUCUAAAAAUUAAGUUCCACAUUGAAUUGUUUUAAAGCACUAUGGCAAACAUUAAAGUGUUUAAUUCAUUAUUGAAACACUUUCAUUACAGCAACAACAGUUUAACAUCCUGCAGUGGUAAUUCUAAAUGAAAAAUUAAGUAUAUAUUUGUGUUAGCUUAGGUGGUUUAUAUAUUCGAUGAUACAGUCUUGUUAUACAGGAUAUUGCUCUUCAGAGAGAGAGGCAUAUGCUUUCAAGUGAUUCAUUUAAAUGCAUCAAAUCAAUACAGAAUAUUUUUAGACUAAUUUUGUUUAAUUGAUUGAAGAUUUUUCAGAACUUUUUUUCCCAGGGAACUUUAGUACAACUAUGUCAGCACGAAUCAUGAAAAGAAUGCAUGAAUACAGUAAAGAGUUCCUAUUCAUUUUAAUUUUGAAAGAUCUAAACUUCAGGGGAAAAAUCCUUAAAACUACAAUAAAUAAUCAAGUAAAUGUAGGUAUACCAAUAAUACUGGAAAUGAAAUAGUAUUCCCCUUUUUGUUUUGU
rnacentral:lncRNA from 1 species